AUUGAACGCUGGCGGCAGGCCUAACACAUGCAAGUCGAGCGGCAGCGGAAAGUAGCUUGCUACUUUGCCGGCGAGCGGCGGACGGGUGAGUAAUGUCUGGGAAACUGCCCGAUGGAGGGGGAUAACUACUGGAAACGGUAGCUAAUACCGCAUAACGUCGCAAGACCAAAGCGGGGGACCUGCGGGCCGCUUGUCAUCGGCUGUGCCCAGGUGGGAUUAGCUAGUAGGUGGGGUAACGGCUCACCUAGGCGACGAUCCCUAGCUGGUCUGAGAGGAUGACCAGCCACACUGGAACUGAGACACGGUCCAGACUCCUACGGGAGGCAGCAGUGGGGGAUAUUGCACAAUGGGCGCAAGCCUGAUGCAGCCAUGCCGCGUGUAUGAAGAAGGCCUUCGGGUUGUAAAGUACUUUCAGCGGGGAGGAAGGUGUUGAGGUUAAUAACCUCAGCAAUUGACGUUACCCGCAGAAGAAGCACCGGCUAACUCCGUGCCAGCAGCCGCCGCGG
rnacentral:rRNA from 1 species